rnacentral:rRNA from 1 species
GCCCAUAAUCUAGCCCAUUUUUUAUAUAUAAUCAUCUCCCCUUAUUAUUCACAAAAUAAAACAUUCUUAAUCUUAAGUAGAUGCGAUCAAAAAAGAAUUUGGAGCUACACAAAUAGUACCGCAAGGGAAAGAUGAAAUAGAAAUUAAAUAAAUACUUAAGCACAAAAAAGCAUAGAUCUCUACUUGUACCUUUUGCAUCAUGGUCUAACUAGUCCAACCAGGCAAAAAGAUUUUUAGUCUGCUCCCCCGAAACUAAGUGAGCUACUCCGAGGCAACCUUAGAGUUAACCCGUCUCUGUGGCAAAAGAGUGGGAUGACCUCCGAGUAGAGGCGACAUACCUAUCGAACUUAGUGAUAGCUGGUUACUCAAGAAAAGAAUUUUAGUUCAAUCUUAAAAGAACUUAGCCUCAUAUCUCAAAAAGCUUUUCUAAUCCUUUAAGAUUUAUUCAAUAAGGGUACAGCCUUAUUGAAAUAGGAUACAACCUAAAACUCAGGUUAAUGAAUUUAUUCCCCUAUCAAGAGUUAGUUGGCUUAAGAGCAGCCACCUUUAAAAUAGCGUCAAAGCAUUCUCCUCUCCCAUGUUUUAAUUCCUAAAAUUUAUCAGAACCCGAUACUACUAUUGAGUCAUUCUAUAAUUUUAUAGAAAUGUUCAUGUUAGAACUAGUAACACAGAAUUAACUUCUCUCUAUGUAAGUGUAAAUCAGAUUGAAUAACUCACUGAUAAUUAUCCAGUAAUGAUAAUAAUGUAGCAACUUCACUAGAAAAUCCUACUAUCUAACCCUGUUAACCUAACACAAGAACAUAAGAAAAAGAUUUAAAGACAAAGAAGGAACUCGGCAAAUAUGGAUCCCGCCUGUUUACCAAAAACAUCGCCUUUAGAAUCCUAUUAAAGGUAUUGCCUGCCCAGUGACUAUAUGUUCAACGGCCGUGGUAUUCUGACCACGCAAAGGUAGCGUAAUCACUUGUUUUUUAAAUAAAGACUAGUAUGAAUGGCUUCACGAGGAUCCAACUGUCUCCUUUGUCCAAUCAGUGAAACUGAUCCCCCCGUGCAGAAGCGGGGAUAUUACCAUAAGACGAGAAGACCCUAUGGAGCUUUAAACCUACAUCAACAAAUUUCUUUAUAUCCCUAAACUAACACUUAUUAAAUUUGCUUGAUUAAAGUUUUAGGUUGGGGCGACCAUGGAGAAAAAAUAAUCCUCCACGAUGAUCUCCUAACUAAGAACCACAAUUCUAAGUAUUAAGACUCUUAACUUAUAUUGACCCAUUUUAUGAUCAACGAACCAAGUUACCCUAGGGAUAACAGCGCAAUCCAUUUCAAGAGUCCAUAUCGACAAAUGGGUUUACGACCUCGAUGUUGGAUCAGGGCACCCAAGUGGUGCAACCGCUACUAAAGGUUCGUUUGUUCAACGAUUAAAGCCCUACGUGAUCAAAGUUCAGACCGGAGA